rnacentral:rRNA from 1 species
CCUACGGGAGGCAGCAGUGGGGAAUCUUGCACAAUGGAGGAAACUCUGAUGCAGCGAUGCCGCGUGAGUGAAGAAGGCCUUUGGGUUGUAAAGCUCUUUUGUAGGGGAAGAUAAUGACUGUACCCUAAGAAUAAGGUCCGGCUAACUUCGUGCCAGCAGCCGCGGUAAUACGAAGGGACCUAGCGUAGUUCGGAAUUACUGGGCGUAAAGCGCGCGUAGGCCGUUGAGUUAGUUAAUUGUGAAAUCCCAAAGCUUAACUUUGGAACUGCAAUUAAAACUGCUCGACUAGAGUUUGAUAGAGGAAAGCGGAAUACAUAGUGUAGAGGUGAAAUUCGUAGAUAUUAUGUAGAACACCAGUUGCGAAGGCGGCUUUCUGGAUCAACACUGACGCUGAGGCGCGAAAGUAUGGGUAGCAAAGAGGAUUAGAUACCCUCGUAGUCCAUACCAUAAACGAUGAUUGCUAGAUGUUGGAAAUUUAUUUUCAGUAUCGCAGCUAACGCGUUAAGCAAUCCGCCUGGGGAGUACGACCGCAAGGUUAAAACUUAAAUGAAUUGACGG